AUUGAACGCUGGCGGCCAGCCUAACACAUGCAAGUCGAACGAGUGGCGGACGGGUGAGUAAUGUCUUGGAAACUGCCUGAUGGAGGGGAAUAACUACUGGCAACGGUAGCUAAUACCGCAUACCAUCGGAUGUGCCCAGAUGGGAUUAGCUAGUAGGGGGGGUAAAGGCUCACCUAGGCGACGCUCCCUAGCUGGUCUGAGAGGCUGACCAGCCAAACUGGAAAGGAGACACGGUCCAGACGCCUACGGUAGGCAGCAGUGGGGAAUAUUGCAAAAUGGGAUCAAGCCUGAUGCAGCCAUGCCGCGUGUAUGAAGAAGGCCUUCGGGUUGUAAAGUACUUUCAGCGGGGAGGCGUUACCCGAAGAAGAAGCACCGGCUAACUCCGUGCCAGCAGCCGCGGUAAUUC
rnacentral:rRNA from 1 species